AUAUCUAGAUUUGCUAUAAAGUUGGUCUUCGGAACCGAAGGUUGUAGGUUCGAGUCCUACCGGGUGUA
rnacentral:tRNA from 1 species